rnacentral:rRNA from 1 species
GACGAACCGUCCAAACGUUAUUCGGAAUCACUGGGCUUACAGAGUUCGUAGGCGGUCUGGAAAGUUGGGUGUGAAAUCCCUCGGCUCAACCGAGGAACUGCGCUCAAAACUACCCGACUCGAGGGAGAUAGAGGAAAGCGGAACUGAUGGUGGAGCGGUGAAAUGCGUUGAUAUCGGGAAGAACACCCGUGGCGAAGGCGGUUCUCUGGGACGGUACUGACGCUGAGACGCGAAAGCGUGGGGAGCGAACAGG